rnacentral:rRNA from 1 species
UGGGGAAUUUUGGACAAUGGGGGCAACCCUGGAUCCAGCCAUGCCGCGUGCGGGAAGAAGGCCUUCGGGUUGUAAACCGCUUUUGUCAGGGAAGAAAUCUUUCGGGUCAAUACCCCGGGGGGAUGACGGUACCUGGAGAAUAAGCACCGGCUAACUACGUGCCAGCAGCCGCGGUAAUACGUAGGGUGCAAGCGUUAAUCGGAAUUACUGGGCGUAAAGCGUGCGCAGGCGGUCGUGCAAGACAGAUGUGAAAUCCCCGGGCUCAACCUGGGAACUGCAUUUGUGACUGCACGACUGGAGUGCGGCAGAGGGGGAUGGAAUUCCGCGUGUAGCAGUGAAAUGCGUAGAUAUGCGGAGGAACACCGAUGGCGAAGGCAAUCCCCUGGGCCUGCACUGACGCUCAUGCACGAAAGCGUGGGGAGCAAAACAGGAUUAGAUACCCCUGGUAGUCCACGCCCUAAACGAUGUCAACUGGUUGUUGAGUGGGUUUCUACUCAGUAACGUAGCUAACGCGUGAAGUUGACCGCCUGGGGAGUACGGCCGCAAGGUUG